rnacentral:rRNA from 1 species
CCUACGGGUGGCUGCAGUGGGGAAUAUUGGGCAAUGGGCGCAAGCCUGACCCAGCAACGCCGCGUGAAGGAAGAAGGCUUUCGGGUUGUAAACUUCUUUUCUCAGGGACGAAGCAAGUGACGGUACCUGAGGAAUAAGCCACGGCUAACUACGUGCCAGCAGUCGCGGUAAUACGUAGGUGGCAAGCGUUAGCCGGAUUUACUGGGUGUAAAGGGCGUGUAGGCGGGAAUGCAAGUCAGAUGUGAAAGUUAUGGGCUCAACCCAUAGCCUGCAUUUGAAACUGUAUUUCUUGAGUGCUGGAGAGGCAGGCGGAAUUCCGGGUGUAGCGGUGAAAUGCGUAGAUAUACGGAGGAACACCAGUGGCGAAGGCAGAUUGCUAAACAGCAACUGACGCUGAGGCGCGAAAGCGUGGGGAGCAAACAGGAUUAGAUACCCUUGUAGUC